rnacentral:sRNA from 1 species
GGGGACAACACCCAGCUUGCAGGGCUGGAGGGGGAACGGCCAGAGCAGGAAGACGUGGGUCUCUGUUCUCUGGAACACCUACCCCCAAGGACCAGAAAUUCUGGGAUAUGGGAGUCUCCAGAACUGGACAGGAAUCUGGCUGAAGAUGCUUCAAGCACAGAGGCAGCAGGAGGUUACAAAGUUGUGAGAAAAGCACAUAAGGACAUUUCUUUCUGCCUGGCACAAACCAACUACCAGUACCAGUCUCUGUUAGUGCUCCUCACUGAUCUCCUGUUCCCAGGGAAAAGAGCCACUCUUCUCAGGAGCCUCAGGCCGGGAAAGACAGGGCAGCUGAGGUGGCAGGCAGCAAGGUUGUCCCUGCACUACCAGAGAGUGGCCAGUCAGAGCCUGGGCCACCUGAAGUGGAAGGCGGAACAAAGGCUACGGGGAACUGCUUUUAUGUCAGCAUGCCAUCAGGACCCCUGGACUCAAGCACCGACCACUCAGAGGCACCCACGAGCCCCCCUCAGCCUGACAGCCUCCCUGCAGGGCAGACAGAGCCUCAGCCUCAGCUGCAGGGAGGCAACGAUGAUCCAAGACGCCCCAGCCGCUCUCCUCCAAGCCUGGCCCUCAGGGACGUGGGCAUGAUCUUCCGUACCAUUGAGCAGCUCACUCUCAAGCUCAACAGGCUCAAGGUUAUGGAGCUGGCCCACAGAGAGCUGCUCAAGUCCCUUGGGGGAGAGUCAUCUGGUGGCACCACGCCUGUGGGCAGUUUCCACACAGAAGCAGCUAGAUGGACAGAUGGCUCCCUCUCACCUCCCGCUAAGGAGCCCCUGGCUUCUGACUCCAGGAACAGCCAUGAACUGGGGCCCUGCCCUGAGGAUG